rnacentral:rRNA from 1 species
GACGAACGCUGGCGGCGUGCCUAAUGCAUGCAAGUCGAGCGGGCUACAGUCUUCGGAUUGUAGUUUAGCGGCGAACGGGUGAGUAACACGUAGGUAAUCUACCCUUCAGAGGAGGACAACCUCAGGAAACUGGGGCUAAACCUCCAUGUGUUCAUUAUCAGGAAUGAUAAUGAAGAAAGAGUUACCGUAGAGGUAGCUGCUGAAGGAUGAGCCUGCGGCCCAUCAGGUAGUUGGUGAGGUAACGGCUCACCAAGCCGAAGACGGGUAACCGGUCUGAGAGGAUGUCCGGUCACACUGGGACUGAGACACGGCCCAGACUCCUACGGGAGGCAGCAGCAGGGAAUCUUGGGCAAUGGGCGAAAGCCUGACCCAGCGACGCCGCGUGGAGGAAGAAGUCCUUCGGGGCGUAAACUCCUGGACUGGGGGACGAGGAAGGACGGUACCCCAGUAGAAAGGGACGGCUAACUACGUGCCAGCAGCCGCGGUAAAACGUAGGUCCCGAGCGUUGUUCGGAUUCACUGGGUGUAAAGGGCGCGUAGGUGGUUGUCUGUGUCUCAUGUGAAAACUCAGGGCUCAACUCUGAGAUGGCGUGGGAAACUAGGCAGCUAGAGGACGGUAGAGGGGAGUGGAAUUCCCGGUGUAGCGGUAAAAUGCGUAGAUAUCGGGAGGAACACCCGGUGGCGAAGGCGGCUCUCUGGGCCGAUCCUGACGCUGAGGCGCGAAAGCUAGGGGAGCGAACC